UACAGAGGUCUCAAGCGUUGUUCGGAUUCAUUGGGCGUAAAGGGUGCGUAGGUGGCGCUGUAAGUCGGGUGUGAAAUUUCGGAGCUUAACUCCGAAACUGCAUUCGAUACUGCGGUGCUCGAGGACUGGAGAGGAGACUGGAAUUCAUGGUGUAGCAGUGAAAUGCGUAGAGAUCAUGAGGAAGACCAGUGGCGAAGGCGGGUCUCUGGACAGUUCCUGACACUGAGGCACGGAAGGCCAGGGGGAGCAAACAGG
rnacentral:rRNA from 1 species